AAUGGAAGGAGGAGGGGGGUAAGGGCAGCCCCAAAUAUUUCAGAUAGACCUAAAUCUCUUUAUAUAGGAAAUGAAAGUCUCUCCUGAUUUAUGAACCUGAUGGAUGAGAUCAAGCAGAGGAGAAACAGUUAAAUUUAGCAAACACUGCAAGUUGCUCCUUUAGCUACAGCAGUGAAGGCCUCAUCUACACAUGAAGUUAAUUAGUUUAAACUGGCAGAGGAAAAGCCUUGCCAUCAGGCUUACAAAGGCAUUUUUUAGACAGCAAUUAUUGAAUUAUGGAAGGUUGGGCUCACCAGGACCAAACAAUUGGGAAAAGGACCUCAAAUAAGAAGGUGAAAAGGGUAUAGUACAUUACAUGAUAGAAGAUGUUAAUAUUAGAAGUGGAACAGAUGGCUCAGAUUGAGAUUGGGAGCACAACUACAACUGAAAGAUGAAGAAAGAGAUUCAAAGAAGAACAAACAAGAGCAGAAAAUUCAAUUAAAAUGUCCAAU